GUUUCGGUAGCUCAGUGGUAGAGCGUGGGAUUGCAGCACACGCAGCAAUCAUCCUAAGGUCAGGCGUUCGACCCGCCUUCGGAACU
rnacentral:tRNA from 1 species